UCAAGAGAUAUCACAUGAAAUAACAUAAUAUGUUUUAGGAAACAUUUAUCUUUAAAUAGAUUCGACGCGCCCAUUCGACUCUCCACGCGCCUCCGAUAUCAAUCACCUGAAACUGUUGAAUAUGGGAUGAGCAUACAGGGUACACUCAGUGUGGGAACAUGCAAUAAUUGUCCAUGUUAAUAAAAUGGUAACACAUAUUGUCAUAACGUAACAUAACUUCCAUACGCACUGUGGCAAUCCAAGGACUUUAAUGUCCCGGACCCUAUAUGUGGGCCCCUGGCGACAAUAUAAUGGUUGCAACCCUGUAACAUGAAAUCGCUUUGUGGCAUACCAAGGACGGUGAAGUCCUGGACCAAUUAUGCUGGCCCCUAGCGAUAAAUAUUUUUACAACACAUACGGUAAACACAUAAUAUUAAAAUAGACAAAUAUUAACCACGUGCAUGUACUGAAAUAAAUCUCACACCUGAAACUUGAGCUUUGAAAGUUAACUGCAAGAAUUUAAAGUUCACAUCCUAGUCGCGCCGCACCUAGUCAGAUAAAUUCAAAUAAUAAAAUAUAAGGGCCUAUUUGAACUUUUAGGAAAAUAAUAUAAACUAUAGGAUCAUUUAAAAAUAAUUGAUCUAAUAAAUUUAAGUAGUAAAAUAUAUUUUCUUAUAAAAAAAUAUGGGUUGAUAUUUAUUUUAAAAACAAAUAUAACCUAUUUAAAAUAAAAUCCUGCAGCCCAUUAAGAAAUUAAAGGUUGAGUCCAAACAUUUUUAAUUAAACUUAAACCCAUUAAUAAUAAAACUAACUAAAGCCCAAACCCAUCUAACAAUCCCUAAUUUAAAUUCACACACCACAACACCCUCACAAACACACACAUCCAGCCGCUCUCUUCUCUCUCUCUCUCGCUCACUCUUCCCCUUCCCGACUCUCUCUCUCCUUCGGCCUCCUGUCGCCGCGCCACCGGACGGCAGCGCCGUCGCCGGAUCCGGCAGCUCUGCCUCCUCUCCCUUCCCUCUUCUUCCUAUCUCCCUUCUUCCCUUAUCUCUUGCCCUCGCCUCUCAUCCCCCUCUGUCCUUCUCUUCGCCGCCUGCCAGUGCCACCGCCCCGUCCUCAUCUCCUUUACCUCCUGUCCGACAGCAGCAGCGGGGCUGCCAUCGCCGCCCUCUGCGUUGACAGCAGCACCGCCCCGCCACUUGCUCCGUCUGUCCGUCCGAAACAGUACGGCAGCGGCCGAGAGCACAGCACCGCCGCCCCUGCCUCUCUCUGCCGGCCGCCGCCUUCCGCCAGCAACAGCGUACGACGGCGCUAUUCCACCGUCCCUCCCCCUGUUCUAUGCCACAAACUCCAUCUCCAGUUUCUUCUCCUAUUUUUCCCUUUUCUAUGUAAUUAAUAAUAUAUUUGUUCUAUUUGAUUUCCUUAUAGAAUUACAGAAAAUGGAUGUAUGCAUGUUUUGAUUCGAAAACAGAAUUCUGUUGUAAGGUUUUGUUUGUUUUCUGUAAAUUGAAAGAAAGCAUAGAUCUUUGCAUAUGAAAAUAAAACUAUACAAGUUUAUGAGAAUUACCGAUGGAGAUUCGGCAGUGGGAAGAAACAGGAUGAAUCUUAAAAGACUGAAUUUGUUUUGUUGAUUUGUGAAUUUGAGGAUGAUACAAUGAGGUUUAAAUAGAUUGAAUUUACUUGUUCGUCAACUACUGUGUGAAAGAAAUCAAAGUUUGCUGCGGUAGAAAUCAAAGUUUGAAAUCAAAGUUUGUUGCUGUGUUGAUCAAAUCUUACGUGCUGCUGUGUUUAUCAAAUAUUACGGAAAGAAAUCAAAUUUGG
rnacentral:lncRNA from 1 species